GGCUUACGGGUAGUUGGUCUGAGAGGAUGAUCAGCAACACUGGGACUGAGACACUGCCCAGACUCCUACGGGAGGCUGCAGUCGAGAAUCAUUGUCAAUGCACGAAAGUGUGAACAUGCGACGCCGCGUGGAGGAAGACGGCCUUUGGGUUGUAAACUCCUGUCAGCAGGGAGUAAGGACGGCACUUUCAAUACAUGUGCCGUUUGAUAGUACCUGCAGAGGAAGUCACGGCUAACUCUGUGCCAGCAGCCGCGGUAAUACAGAGGUGGCGAACGUUGUUCGGAUUUACUGGGCGUAAAGGGUCCGCAGGCGGUCCGGUGUGUCAGAUGUGAAAGCCCACAGCUUAACUGUGGAAUUGCAUUUGAAACUGCCGGACUAGAGUACUGGAGGGGAGAAGGGAACACUUGGUGUAGCGGUGAAAUGCGUAGAUAUCAAGUGGAACACCGGUGGCGAAGGCGCUUCUCUGGACAGAUACUGACGCUCAUGGACGAAAGUUAGGGUAGCGAAAGGGAUUAGAUACCCCUGUAGUCCUAACCGUAAACGGUGUGCGCUAGGCGUGGGUGGCUUUACCCCCAUCCGUGCCUGAGCUAACGCAUUAAGCGCACCGCCUGGGGAGUACGGUCGCAAGAUUAAAACUCAAAGGAAUUGACGGGGACCCGCACAAGCGGUGGAGCAUGUGGCUUAAUUCGAUGCAACGCGAAGAACCUUACCUGGGCUUGACAUAUAGCUGCAUACGAUCCGAAAGGAACGUAGCCUUCGAGGGUGCUAUACAGGUGCUGCAUGGCUGUCGUCAGCUCGUGCCGUGAGGUGUUGGGUUAAGUCCCGCAACGAGCGCAACCCCUGUGUUUAGUUGCCAGCACGUAAUGGUGGGAACUCUAAACAGACUGCCUGUGAAAACAGGAGGAAGGUGGGGAUGACGUCAAGUCAGUAUGGUCCUUAUGUCCAGGGCUGCACACGUGCUACAAUGGGAUGUACAGUGGGAAGCUAAGCCGCGAGGUGGAGCAAAUCCUCAAAACAUCCCCCAGUUCGGAUUGGAGUCUGAAACUCGACUCCAUGAAGUUGGAAUCGCUAGUAAAGGCGUAUCAGCUACGACGCCUUGAAUACGUUCCCGGGUCUUGUACACACCGCCCGUCACAUCAUGGAAGUGAGUUGCACCCGAAGUUGCUGAUCCAACCCGUCAAGGGAGGAAGGCACCUAAGGUGUGAUUCAUAACUGUGAUGAAGUCGCAACAAGGUA
rnacentral:rRNA from 1 species